AAACGUUGGCCGUAACUAUAACGGUCCUAAGGUAGCAAAUUUCCUUGUCGUGAGUAACGACCUGCAUGAAACAUGGAACGAUUCGAUAGCUGUCUUGCGCACACAUCAUGGUGAAAUAUUCAUCAGUACGAAUGAUAUGCUGACUAAAGUUUAUUAACACUAAAGGACAAAAAGACCCUUUGAAGCUUUAU
rnacentral:rRNA from 1 species